GAUGAACGCUAGCGGCAGGCUUAAUACAUGCAAGUCGAACGGGAUUGAGAAGCUUGCUUUUCAUGAGAGUGGCGCACGGGUGCGUAACGCGUAUGCAACCUACCUUGUCCAGGGGGAUAGCCCGCUGAAAGACGGAUUAAGACCGCAUAACAUUGAGCUGUGGCAUCACAAAUCAAUCAAAUAUUUAUAGGGACAAGAUGGGCAUGCGCCUGAUUAGGUAGUUGGCGGGGUAAUGGCCCACCAAGCCGACGAUCAGUAGGGGAUCUGAGAGGAUGACCCCCCACACUGGUACUGAGACACGGACCAGACUCCUACGGGAGGCAGCAGUAAGGAAUAUUGGUCAAUGGGCGAAAGCCUGAACCAGCCAUGCCGCGUGCAGGAAGACGGCCCUACGGGUUGUAAACUGCUUUUAUACGGGAAUAACCCCGGUUUCGUGAAACCGGCUGAAUGUACCGUAAGAAUAAGGAUCGGCUAACUCCGUGCCAGCCGCCGCCGUAA
rnacentral:rRNA from 1 species